rnacentral:rRNA from 1 species
GAGGAAAGGGGGAGGCGUGCCUAAUACAUGCAAGUCGAGCGAACAGACGAGGAGCUUGCUCCUCUGACGUUAGCGGCGGACGGGUGAGUAACACGUGGAUAACCUACCUAUAAGACUGGGAUAACUUCGGGAAACCGGAGCUAAUACCGGAUAAUAUAUUGAACCGCAUGGUUCAAUAGUGAAAGACGGUUUUGCUGUCACUUAUAGAUGGAUCCGCGCCGCAUUAGCUAGUUGGUAAGGUAACGGCUUACCAAGGCAACGAUGCGUAGCCGACCUGAGAGGGUGAUCGGCCACACUGGAACUGAGACACGGUCCAGACUCCUACGGGAGGCAGCAGUAGGGAAUCUUCCGCAAUGGGCGAAAGCCUGACGGAGCAACGCCGCGUGAGUGAUGAAGGUCUUCGGAUCGUAAAACUCUGUUAUUAGGGAAGAACAAAUGUGUAAGUAACUAUGCACGUCUUGACGGUACCUAAUCAGAAAGCCACGGCUAACUACGUG